UGGGGGAUCGUCUAACGGUAGGACUGCAGAUUCUGGAUCUGCCUAUUGGAGUUCAAAUCUCUAUCCCCCAG
rnacentral:tRNA from 1 species